CUCGCCUACAGCACAGACUGUCUAUAGUAAAGUUGCCGAAGAGAUUCUAAACGUAUUUGUAAGUACGUGGUCUUUACUAGUUAACCGUAUCUUUAUUGAUGCGGUUAUUUUUUUAUG
rnacentral:sRNA from 1 species